rnacentral:rRNA from 1 species
UUGAACGCUGGCGGCAGGCCUAACACAUGCAAGUCGAGCGGAUGAAGGGAGCUUGCUCCUGGAUUCAGCGGCGGACGGGUGAGUAAUGCCUAGGAAUCUGCCCGGUAGUGGGGGAUAACGUCCGGAAACGGGCGCUAAUACCGCAUACGUCCUGAGGGAGAAAGUGGGGGAUCUUCGGACCUCACGCUAUCAGAUGAGCCUAGGUCGGAUUAGCUAGUUGGUGGGGUAAAGGCCUACCAAGGCGACGAUCCGUAACUGGUCUGAGAGGAUGAUCAGUCACACUGGAACUGAGACACGGUCCAGACUCCUACGGGAGGCAGCAGUGGGGAAUAUUGGACAAUGGGCGAAAGCCUGAUUCAGCCAUGCCGCGUGUGUGAAGAAGGUCUUCGGAUUGUAAAGCACUUUAAGUUGGGAGGAAGGGCAGUAAGUUAAUACCUUGCUGUUUUGACGUUACCAACAGAAUAAGCACCGGCUAACUUCGUG